GCGAGGGUGGCCGAGUGGUCUAAGGCGCUGCAUUCAAGAUUUAAUCUUACCUAGUUACCUGGGUUUCGCAGUAUCGAAAGAUGCAUGGGUUCGAGUCCCAUCCUUCGCA
rnacentral:tRNA from 3 species